AAAAUUCGACAAAGUACAAGGUCGGAAUUCUUGGUCUUCUCGUUGUUGUGGUUGUUUUUUUUUUUUUUUUUUUUUUUUUUGUUUGUUGUUGU
rnacentral:ribozyme from 1 species